AAAUAGAGGCUUCAAAGAAUGUACCUGGUAGUGAGGUGUGGGCUCUUUAAUUAUUUCCAGUGUUGAAGCUCUGAAAGGAAGCUGUUUAUGCUUUGGUUGGCAGCAAAGCAGAGACCAUGUCUUAGCUCUCUUAAGAUCUGAAAUAGAAAAAAUAACUCAGUGAUGAAAUGUGUGGCAAGGGAGGGAUCCUUGAGGAACACACAGACUUAUAUGGGAAGAAAAUGAAGAAUGCCACAGCAGGUCACAGAUGAGAAACUCCCUCUGCCCGUCACAGACCCAGCUUUGAGCACAGGUGAUGUGGGCAGUUUCUGCAGAAGUAGACUGGAGCAAGAGGUGGAUCAUCCUCAUCCCAUGAGGUAGAAGAAACAUCUAUGUUCACAGAAGGAUCAUUUUUCACUAAAUGUACAAGGAUCAGAUACAACAUCCACACCUUCCUGUUCCCAUCUCUCUCCUCCAUGGAGUGGGAGGAGAAGAGAGCAUAAACAUGAAAGUUUGGGUGCCCCUCUUUUAGAGGAAACUUAGUGUGCACACAAACAUAUCCAAAUGAACAACAAAACACAGGCAUUUCCUCGGGAGCCCAAAAUGUUGCCUAGAAAAAGUUUGCAAUGAAUUAUUGCUCUUAUUUUUAAUUUGAACUGCGCCAUGAAGGUUCAUAAUUUUUAAUAUGGUGGUGUUAAUGAAGUCAUGAAAGUUUAAAGAUAUGAGUGGGGCAAGAUAUUUAUAGGAGGAAGAAAUAGAUUUUACUGCCCUGAUUGAUGUAUUGGGAAAGCAGACAAGCUUUAGGCACGAGGUCUUUAGGUAAACAGUAACAGGGAGACUCUGACCUCAAAAGUAAGUUAAUGGAUAGCAUAAACUCCCCAGGGAUUGGAGACAGUACACAUUUCUAGGAGGUGUUUGAAUGGAUGUUU